AUACAUGCAAGUCGAGGGAGAUUGUUGGAUUCGUCUGACAUGAAACCGGCGCACGGGUGCGUAACACGUAUGCAACCUACCUUUAACUGGGGUAUAGCUCAGAGAAAUCUGAAUUAAUCCCCCAUAAGACUACGACAUGGCAUCAUGAUGUAGUUAAAGCUCCGGCGGUUAAGGAUGGGCAUGCGGUACAUUAGCUAGUUGGUGAGGUAAUGGCUCACCAAGGCUACGAUGUAUAGGGGGUCUGAGAGGAUGAUCCCCCACACUGGUACUGAGACACGGACCAGACUCCUACGGGAGGCAGCAGUAGGGAAUAUUGGUCAAUGGACGCAAGUCUGAACCAGCCAUGCCGCGUGAAGGAUGAAGGCCCUCUGGGUCGUAAACUUCUUUUAUUAGGGAAGAAAACAUGGGAUGCGUCCCAAACUGACGGUACUUAAUGAAUAAGGAUCGGCUAACUUCGUGCCAGCAGCCGCGGUAAGACGAAGGAUCCAAGCGUUGUCCGGAUUUACUGGGUUUAAAGGGUGCGUAGGCGGAAAAUUAAGUCAGUGGUGAAAGCCCGCAGCUCAACUGUGGAACUGCCAUUGAAACUGAUUUUCUUGAAUAUAGCUGAGGCAGAUGGAAUAUAACAUGUAGCGGUGAAAUGCUUAGAUAUGUUAUAGAACACCGAUUGCGAAGGCAGUCUGCUAAACUAUUAUUGACGCUGAGGCACGAAAGCGUGGGGAGCGAACAGGAUUAGAUACCCUGGUAGUCCACGCCCUAAACGUUGAUUACUCGCUGUUGGCGAUAUACUGUCAGUGGCUAAGCGAAAGCGUUAAGUAAUCCACCUGGGAAGUACGACCGCAAGGUUGAAACUCAAAGGAAUUGACGGGGGCCCGCACAAGCGGAGGAGCAUGUGGUUUAAUUCGAUGAUACGCGAGAAACCUUACCUGGGCUUUAAUGUCAGGUGACCGCU
rnacentral:rRNA from 1 species